ACUACAGACCCUGCCAAAGUGUCUGUCCCCUUCUUUCCUGUAGCUCCACUUUAGAUACUGAAAGGCUGCUAUCAGGUCACCUCAGAGCCUUCUCGUCUCCAGGCUGAACAGCCCCAGCUCUCAGCCUGUCCUCAUAUAAGAGGUUUUCCAUUCUGUGAAUCAUUUCUGUGGCCCUCCUCUGUUUGCUCUCCAGCAGGUCCAUGCCUCUCCUGUACUGAGGACUCCACAUCUGGAUGACGUACUCCAGGUAAGGCCUCACAGAGUAGAGGGGCAGGAUCACCUUCCUCAAUCUGGUGGACAUGCUUUUGAUACAGUCCAGGGUAUGGUAUGCUUUCUGGGAUGCAAGAGCAUAUUGCUGGUUCAUGUCCAGCUUCCCACCUACCAGUACCCUCAGGUCUUUUUUUGGCAGGUCUGCGCUCAAUCCUUUCAUCUUGCAGUUUGUAUUGGUAAUGGGGGUUGCCUUGAAAAGGGGGCAAGACCCUGCAUGUGGAUUUGUUGAACCACAUGAGGUUCACCUGAGCCCACUGCUCAAGCCAGAUCCCUUUGCUGAGUUUCAGAUGCACUGGAGACUGGUGACUCUUUAUAGGACUGUUCAUUGAUUCUGCAAAUCUGUGCUCCCGUAUAGCAACUUGCGUUUAGUUACUGCUCUGAAUGGUUUGACCUCUUGCUGUGAAAAGACACUUUUGAGCAAUUCCCAAUCCAGUAAGAAAGUAUCUGUCUAGCAGUUUCCAAUCCAUAUGAGCAUGUAUAUUCCCACUCCAAACGAGAUCAUAUACUUUCUUUUCUCCCACUCUGCCUGAUAGCGUAGAGAACUAUUUUUGAAGAUGAAGAGAAAGUGGAAAAGAGAGAGCAUUUACUAAAGUUAGCAACUCUUUCCUCUAGAGAAAUAUAGAUUGUGCAAAAAGAAUGGAAUGAAACUGUUGUUAAUGGCCAUUGUUCUUCCUGUUUUGAACAUGAGAUCAGAGUAUGUCUUCUCCGUAAAGGUUGGUCUUUGGGCCUUUUAUAAUCUUUAAAGCUUAAAGCUUUGAUUUCAAAUAUAUUUGUGUUUGAUUAUCAUUUAAUAUUGGAGAUGGUAAGAUAUAUUUUAGGAGAGCUUUUCCUUUCCAGUUCUAAAUACUCUAAUCUUUGUACUUUGAAUCUUCAACAAUCUUACAAUUUUUCAUGAAGUUCUGUUGUAUAGGAACUGGUGAAUCAUAGCCUGAACCUUUGAUUGAUCACCUCCACCUGAGGUGAGAAAUGAGUCAGCUCUGGGAGCACAGAUGAAAGCAAUUCACUUGUGCUACCGGAAGGGGUGGAGCCUUGUUCUACCUCUCCUAGUCCCCAUUUAAGAGCUGACUACCAUUGGGGAAGGAUCUCUUUUGGUGACUGCUCUUCUUGGAGUCUUCUCAGAAAGUCCAGGAUGAAGGUACCUGAAAGCACAUAACAAUGGAUUUUGAAAAUAUCUCUGUGAAGUCUUCUCCUGUUUAGGAAGAGAUGAAAAUUGGUUGUUGAAGAGAGAAAAGACUACCUUUGUAAGCAGAUGUGCAAGGCUACAGAUGAGAGCUUUGAGGCAGAAGGACUUCAGGCAAUCUGGCUGCAAAAGGAGUAACUCUUGAGAGAAGGCAGGAGGAUGUCUUCACAUUCCCACUCAGAAGAGAGGCCAUUUAGAAGCUUACUGCAAGUAGAUCUUGUUUGCUACCUGCGCCAUGUGUCUAUGCAGAAGGAAGCCUAUAUGCAGUCUCAAGGCUAUUAAAUGAGAAGUUCUAUGAACUCCUCACAUAUGUGAGUGAAGUACAAUUCUUGGUGGAUGUGGUCUGUUUGAAAAACUCAAACAAUAACAAGAGGAAGCUAUGCUCUAUAGAAGUGCACAACUGGAAACACAUCUGUCAAGAGUCCCUGGACCAAAGUUGGAGGGGAGUAGUUUCAGCUGUAUAACUGUAACCUGCUGCAAACUGCCUGAAGUGGCUUCUGAUCAAAAAAGUAGCAAAGAAGUCCUGACCAUGUGCCCUGCUUAUCACGUGAGUUGACACCUAUCCAGGCAUCUGCUGAGAGCAUAGCAUGGCUUUGUGCAACCGACAAGCAGGUUUCUAAAUUUUAUUGGUGACUUCUUACUAAAUAAGAUAGUAGAACGGCUUGAUCUGUUUGUCUAAUGCUCACAAAUGGGGAAUAAUGGCAAAUGUGUUAUGGGUGGCAGAUUGGAUGAUUAUUUUUAGUAGCACCCAGAAAAUAGUGGAGUCCAGGAUUCAGAUGAUCCUGGGGAGAGGAAUAGCAGUACUCCAAGCCAUGGUAUAUUGGACUCUGGUCUAUUCAGGAAACUGCUGGGCAGAAUCUCUUGGGUCAGCUUUCCCUUAAGAAGUACCCUGUUUUGUUUGUUAUUAGGAGGCUAGUAAAAAUAAUAAUAAUAAUCAUAAUCAUUCUAUUGCAUACAAGCACUGGGAAUUUUGCCUAAGAUGAAAACUUCUGAAUUCAGAAGAGAAGUGGGAAGCCAUAAGAUGCAGAAACCAGGACUGGCAAAGAGUGUAUGUAUGUAUUGCUCAUAUCAUUUGGGAUAAGAUCAAGAAGGCUAGUUAAUCUCACCUCAGUUUUUCAAAAGACCAUAAAUAAGAUUUUUACAGAAUUACGUAUCUGUGAAAGAUAAGAAAACUGUUGCUGUAGA